CCAACAGGGAUUGCCUCAGUAACGGCGAGUGAAGCGGCAAAAGCUCAAAUUUGAAAUCUGGCACCUUCGGUGUCCGAGUUGUAAUUUGAAGAAGGUAACUUUGGAGUUGGCUCUUGUCUAUGUUCCUUGGAACAGGACGUCACAGAGGGUGAGAAUCCCGUGCGAUGAGAUGCCCAAUUCUAUGUAAAGUGCUUUCGAAGAGUCGAGUUGUUUGGGAAUGCAGCUCUAAGUGGGUGGUAAAUUCCAUCUAAAGCUAAAUAUUGGCGAGAGACCGAUAGCGAACAAGUACAGUGAUGGAAAGAUGAAAAGAACUUUGAAAAGAGAGUGAAAAAGUACGUGAAAUUGUUGAAAGGGAAGGGCUUGAGAUCAGACUUGGUAUUUUGCAAGCUUUACCUUCGUGGUGGAGUCCCCUGCAGUUUACUGGGCCAGCAUCGGUUUGGAUGGUAGGAUAAUGGCAUUGGAAUGUGGCUUUGCUUCGGUAAAGUGUUAUAGCCUUUGUUGAUACUGCCUGUCUAGACCGAGGACUGCGUCUUUGACUAGGAUGCUGGCAUAAUGAUCUUAAGUCGCCCGUCUUG
rnacentral:rRNA from 1 species